rnacentral:rRNA from 1 species
GACGAACGCUGGCGGCGUGCUUAACACAUGCAAGUCGAACGGAAAGGCCCUGCUUUUGUGGGGUGCUCGAGUGGCGAACGGGUGAGUAACACGUGAGUAACCUGCCCUUGACUUUGGGAUAACUUCAGGAAACUGGGGCUAAUACCGGAUAGGAGCUCCUGCUGCAUGGUGGGGGUUGGAAAGUUUCGGCGGUUGGGGAUGGACUCGCGGCUUAUCAGCUUGUUGGUGGGGUAGUGGCUUACCAAGGCUUUGACGGGUAGCCGGCCUGAGAGGGUGACCGGCGACAUGGGGACGGAGAUACGGCCCGGGGUAGGAGGGUAGGCAGCAGAGCGGAAGGUGGGGGAGUGGGCGGCUGGCUUAGGCAGCAACGCCGCGUGGGGGAGGACGGCGGUCGGGUGGUAGAGCGAGUGAGCCGGGGACUAAGAGGGUGGGAAGGGAAUGGGUAAAGAAGCACAGGCUAACUACGUG